UCAAAUAGCAUAUUGUUGUAGCGUUGUUAACAUUUAACGUUAUUAUUUCACAAUAUACUCGAUUUUAUGUAUUCUAUACUAGUAGGGUGGAGGUAUAUGGACAUUAUAAAAAAUGUUUAAAAAAAUUGUACUUUUUCUGACAAUAAUUUUAUUAGCAAAAGGUUUAAGUCAAUCAAUUACUUCCAAUGAUGAACAAUAUCCAUCAUCAAUAAACGUGAGUUCGUUAAAUAAUGCGCAGAGUUCGAGUACAUCACUAUCCAAUGUUUAUCUACAAAAAUCAAUUGAAUCAUCUCCCGACUACGUUGAAACAGAAACUACUGUUUCUACUGAUUGCUUUUUCUUCUUGUUUUUCUAUUUUUGUUAAAGUAAAUCAUUAAGAUAAGUCAUGGCGAGGGUUAAGGAAGUUUAUUUUUGGUAAGAUCACUUUAAUUUUAUACAAAUAAAUUUAAGAAACUUUUUAUGUAAGCCUUUAAUUAAUAAUUACUAUUAUUAAUAAAUAACACUCUAUUGUAAAAGUAUUUCGUACUUGUUAAUUCUAAUGUUACAAUAAAAAUAUUUAAAAUAUUGUUUAACAGCUACCUACUUAAAAUUAAUAAAAUUUAAGGUAUAUUAAGUUUGACAGAUUUAUUUAAAAGGCAAAUAAUAUGGCACUUACAUAAAAAAAUCUAAUUAGUAAAAAAUGUAUGUAGGUAAUUGUUUUGUAAAUUUAAGUUACUAAAAUAACAUUUUAUAUCUCAAAGUUACAAUUCAGUUUAUCAAUAUCAAUAUAUAAGAACAAAAAACAAUGCGGUCUUAUCGAUUAUUUUAAUCUUUCAGAACAUCGAUGUGUAAGAAAAGUUGAAUGCUUUUAAAAUCGUUACGAGUUAUACGAUUUCUACAAAACGUUAAUAUGUAAUUUUAAAAAUCAACGAUUCAAUAGACAUCGAUUUAACAUCGAUAUUCGAACAUUUUUAUUUUUAAACGAUUUAAUGAAUCUCAGUUUGUCCUGCAAGUGUUACUAUACUAUUUAUUAUUUAAUAUCAUUUCGAUUGAGUUGACUAUACAAUGAAUUCCAAUUGAAGAAGGAGUAAGAUAAACAAACCUUAGAUUUACAUUUCUCCUGCAGUAUGAAGAAUAUAGCAGAGCGAUGUUGUCCAAGCAGUUAUUGACUAAUAAACAACAGUAUUUCAUUUUACUUUAAUUGGACUUCCAAAGUUCUGAUAAGAACUUCACUGAUAUUCCAAACGACAGUUAUUCGCAAAUCCUCAAUGAAUAUCAAAAGUUAUUCAACUAGACCAAGGAUAUCGCGUCGAUUCAAUGGCAAAGUUGUUUGAUUGCCUUUACUCCUCCCGUUAGUUAGAAGUGGCUCUAUAGUUGCUGCCUUCGUCUGAGUUUCACUGUAUAAAAUGUAUCAAAAGAGUUUUAUUUUAAAUAUGUUUUCAAAAAAAGUUAAAGAUGAACUGCGAUGCUUAGUGUGUAUGAUAUAGUAUAUGCCAUUUAUAAUUGUCUUUUCAGUCAUCUGCCUGUCUUUAUACAAACUUACCUAAAAUGCUACGUUAUACAUGUAUAAUAAAUAUUAAGAUUUUUUUUUAAAUAUUA